AACCGUAUAGCUCAGCUGGUAGAGCGCUGCUUGCAGCAGUGGUCGGCGGUUCGAAUCCGCCUACGGUUA
rnacentral:tRNA from 1 species